UAUUAUAUCAGGCAUUAUAAAUAAUUUCUAGGCAAUUUUUAAAAUGACUGCAAGACAGUUUUAGGAUUGGCUAAGUGUUAUUUACAGUAUCUUGCCCA
rnacentral:pre_miRNA from 14 species